GGCUCAGGAUGAACGCUAGCUACAGGCUUAACACAUGCAAGUCGAGGGGCAGCGGGAUUGAAGCUUGCUUCAAUCGCCGGCGACCGGCGCACGGGUGAGUAACGCGUAUCCAACCUUCCGUACACUCAGGGAUAGCCUUUCGAAAGAAAGAUUAAUACCUGAUGGUAUGAUGAGAUUGCAUGAUAGCAUCAUUAAAGAUUUAUCGGUGUACGAUGGGGAUGCGUUCCAUUAGGUAGUAGGCGGGGUAACGGCCCACCUAGCCAACGAUGGAUAGGGGUUCUGAGAGGAAGGUCCCCCACAUUGGAACUGAGACACGGUCCAAACUCCUACGGGAGGCAGCAGUGAGGAAUAUUGGUCAAUGGACGAGAGUCUGAACCAGCCAAGUAGCGUGAAGGAUGAAGGUCCUACGGAUUGUAAACUUCUUUUAUAAGGGAAUAAACCCUCCCACGUGUGGGAGCUUGUAUGUACCUUAUGAAUAAGCAUCGGCUAACUCCGUGCCAGCAGCCGCGGUAAUACGGAGGAUGCGAGCGUUAUCCGGAUUUAUUGGGUUUAAAGGGAGCGCAGACGGGUCGUUAAGUCAGCUGUGAAAGUUUGGGGCUCAACCUUAAAAUUGCAGUUGAUACUGGCGUCCUUGAGUGCGGUUGAGGUGUGCGGAAUUCGUGGUGUAGCGGUGAAAUGCUUAGAUAUCACGAAGAACUCCGAUUGCGAAGGCAGCACACUAAUCCGUAACUGACGUUCAUGCUCGAAAGUGUGGGUAUCAAACAGGAUUAGAUACCCUGGUAGUCCACACGGUAAACGAUGGAUACUCGCUGUUGGCGAUAUACUGUCAGCGGCUUAGCGAAAGCGUUAAGUAUCCCACCUGGGGAGUA
rnacentral:rRNA from 1 species